rnacentral:rRNA from 1 species
GAUGAACGCUGGCGGCGUGCUUAACACAUGCAAGUCGAACGAAGCACUUUAUUUGAUUUCCUUCGGGACUGAUUAUUUUGUGACUGAGUGGCGGACGGGUGAGUAACGCGUGGGUAACCUGCCUUGUACAGGGGGAUAACAGUUGGAAACGGCUGCUAAUACCGCAUAAGCGCACGGCAUCGCAUGAUGCAGUGUGAAAAACUCCGGUGGUAUAAGAUGGACCCGCGUUGGAUUAGCUGGUUGGUGAGGUAACGGCCCACCAAGGCGACGAUCCAUAGCCGACCUGAGAGGGUGACCGGCCACAUUGGGACUGAGACACGGCCCAAACUCCUACGGGAGGCAGCAGUGGGGAAUAUUGCACAAUGGGCGAAAGCCUGAUGCAGCGACGCCGCGUGAGCGAAGAAGUAUUUCGGUAUGUAAAGCUCUAUCAGCAGGGAAGAUAAUGACGGU